CCUACGGGUGGCAGCAGUGGGGAAUAUUGCACAAUGGGGGAAACCCUGAUGCAGCGACGCCGCGUGGGUGAAGAAGUAUUUCGGUAUGUAAAGCCCUAUCAGCAGGGAAGAAAAAUGACGGUACCUGACUAAGAAGCACCGGCUAAAUACGUGCCAGCAGCCGCGGUAAUACGUAUGGUGCAAGCGUUAUCCGGAUUUACUGGGUGUAAAGGGAGCACAGGCGGCACGCGAAGCCUGAUGUGAAAACCCGGGGCCCAACCGCGGGACUGCUCUUGGAACUGCGUGGCUGGAGUGCAGGAGGGGCAGGCGGAAGUGCUGGUGUAGAGGUGAAAUGCGUAGAUAGCAGGAGGAACACCGGUGGGGAAGGCGGCCUGCUGGACUGCAAUUGACGUUGAGGCCCGAAAGCGUGGGGAGCAAACAGGAUUAGAUACCCGUGUAGUC
rnacentral:rRNA from 1 species